GCAAAUAUAGUUUAACAAAAACAUUAGAUUGUGAAUCUAAAAACAGGAGUUCAAAACCCCUUAUAUGCC
rnacentral:tRNA from 1 species